rnacentral:snRNA from 1 species
GGAUGUGAGGGCGAUCUGGCUGUGAUAUCUGUUACCCCAUUGAUCGCCAGGAUUGAUUAGGCUGAUCUGGCUGGGCUAGGCGGGUAUCAUCUUCCUCCCUCACUGCUCCAUGUACGUCCCUCCUGAAGCUCUGCACUCGGUCAAAGAGAACAACCUUCCCCACUAGAGGAGAACCAGUCUUUGGUCAAGGGUAUCCGAGUAGCUGCACUCCCCUGCUAGAACCUCCAAAUAAGCUCCCACUAAGUAAGUAUUGAAUUGGGGCAGAUGAAAGUUAUUAUAUAACCACAAAGUCCAGUUGCCUAUUUCUGU